UCUUAGCGCCAUCUUGUCGAGUGAGUGCGUUCUGCUUUUUCUCCCUCUUAGACGGGGAUUCGCAAUCCGCUGCCAUCUGGACUCGGCGUUUGCCACCAGCCCUCCAGACUAACCUUGUUGUUUUCCUUUCUCCCUACAGCUUCCAUUGCGCCAUGAGAGCCAAGUGGAGGAAGAAGCGAAUGCGUAGGCUGAAACGCAAGAGGAGAAAGAUGAGGCAGAGGUCCAAGUAACCAGACUGUGCUAACCACGGAGGCCACAGGAGCAGAGAUGGAAUGACCUUUGGUGACAUCAGGAAAGCAGAAACAAUCAGGAGACAUCACCAUCUGGAAAAAGGAUUCUUACCACCAUCUUACCACCUCCCUGACUGAAGGAUAUGCCAUCAUUUAAUGAAAAUUCCACCAGCCUGACUCUUGACUCUGUGCCAUGGGACUUUUGUCAUUCCGGACUGAUUGUUUUCCUUGUGGCUAAGUGUAGCGCACCUGCAUAAUAAAUCCUCAGUACUUUCUUGCGUGAAAAAA